UUCCGAUUUUUAAUUGGAGACUAUUCUUUCUGAUUUCUCGUCAGCAUAUUCUUGAUCCGACUUCUGAUCUAAAAAAACUAAUCGGAUUGCACAAAUUAAGCAGUGUAGUCAUGUGAUUGAUUAUGACUCGUCCGACCCUUGAUCAGUAUGUGCUUGGUCUAACAUUGAUCGAAGAAUCAACUGGUCGAUCACCAAUCGCAUCCAAUCCAUACACGGUUUGAAUAUCAGAACAAUCUCUGAUCAGCAUAACAACUGCGGAUCGGCUAGUCUUCC
rnacentral:lncRNA from 1 species